rnacentral:rRNA from 1 species
CGUCUAUAUACGUAUAGCAUAUCAAUAAGCGGAGGAAAAGAAACUAACUAGGAUUCCCUCAGUAACGGCGAGUGAAGCGGGAAGAGCUCAAAUUUGAAAUCUUCAAGGUUCUACCUUGACGAAUUGUAGUUUAAAGAAGUGUUUUCUGUUGGAGUUUUGGUAAAAGUUCUUUGGAAUAGGACAUCAUAGAGGGUGAGAAUCCCGUAUUUGACCAUUAUUUCCAACUUUGUGAUACACUUUCAAAGAGUCGGAUUGUUUGGGAAUGCAGUCCAAAAUGGGUGGUAAAUUUCAUCUAAAGCUAAAUACUGGCGAGAGACCGAUAGCGAACAAGUACCGUGAGGGAAAGAUGAAAAGAACUUUGAAAAGAGAGUUAAACAGUACGUGAAAUUGUCAAAAGGGAAGCGUUUGACACCAGUGUUGUUUUCUCGAAAAUCAAUUAAAAAUGGCGGGAUUUUGUGUUGUAUUGACUUUAUCAGCUUUCUGCACUUUUUUCUUAUCUUUUUUAAUGCACUUUUCGUUUAACAAGUCAACAUCAAUUUCUUUUGCUGUAAAAGGGUCAUUGGAAGGUGGCUUUCUUUUCGGAGAAAGUGUUUAUAGCCUUUGACUUCUGCAAUCGGAGAGAUUGAGGUCUGCAGCGUAGAUCCUUCGGGGUUAGAUACAUUUGUGCUAAGUUAUAGCCUUUCAUAGACAACUUGUUGACUAUGAUCAGUCAUGUAGCUUACUCGCUUAUGCUAUUUUACCUACGCUUAGGAUGUUGACGAUCAGCUGAGCGCG